rnacentral:misc_RNA from 1 species
GUUCCGUAGGUGAACCUGCGGAAGGAUCAUUCAUAAUAAAGUGUUUUAUGGCACUUUUUAAAAAUCCAUAUCCACCUUGUGUGCAAUGUUAGAUCUCGUCAAUCUUGGCGAGAUUUUUAUACAUCAACUCAUUCAUUAACUAAUUUGUCUGAAAAAUAUUAUGAAUACUUAAUUCAAAAUACAACUUUCAACAACGGAUCUCUUGGCUCUC